rnacentral:rRNA from 1 species
AAACCAACAGGGAUUACCUCAGUAACGGCGAGUGAAGCGGUAACAGCUCAAAUUUGAAAUCUGGCCUCACGGUCCGAGUUGUAAUUUGUAGAGGAUGCUUCGGGCGUGGUCCGGUCUAAGUUCCUUGGAACAGGACGUCAUAGAGGGUGAGAAUCCCGUAUGUGACCGGGUGCCGCUGUCCAUGUGAAGCUCCUUCGACGAGUCGAGUUGUUUGGGAAUGCAGCUCAAAAUGGGUGGUAAAUUUCAUCUAAAGCUAAAUAUUGGCCAGAGACCGAUAGCGCACAAGUAGAGUGAUCGAAAGAUGAAAAGCACUUUGGAAAGAGAGUUAAACAGUACGUGAAAUUGUUGAAAGGGAAGCGCUUGCAACCAGACUUGCACGCGGUCGAUCAUCCUGCCUUCUGGCUGGUGCACUCGAUCGCGUUCAGGCCAGCAUCGGUUUUGGUGGUUGGAUAAAGGCUCUGGGAAUGUAGCUUCUCUCGGGGAGUGUUAUAGCCCAGGGUGCAAUGCAGCCUACCGGGACCGAGGACCGCGCUUCGGCUAGGAUGCUGGCGUAAUGGUUGUAAGCGACCCGUCUUGA